GGGGGGUGCAAGCGUUAAUCGGAGUUAUUGGGCGUAAAGGGUACGUAGGUUGUUCGUUAAGUUAUGUGGGAAAUACCUGGGCUUAACCUGGGAAUGUCGGAUAAUACUGAUGAACUUGAGUAUAGUAGAGGGUAGUGGAAUUUCCGGUGUAGCGGUGAAAUGCGUAGAGAUCGGAAGGAACACCAGUGGCGAAGGCGGCUACCUGGACUAAUACUGACACUGAGGUACGAAAGCGUGGGGAGCAAACAGGAUUAGAUACCCUGGUAGUCCACGCUGUAAACGAUGUCAACUAGCUGUUGGGUAAAUAAAUUUACUUAGUGCGUAGCUAACGCGAUAAGUUGACCGCCUGGGGAGUACGGUCGCAAGAUUA
rnacentral:rRNA from 1 species